GAUUUUUAUUUUUUUAAUGGUCAAUUUACACUAUACCUUUGUUUUUCAUCUCAGGAGAAUGGAAGGCACAAGUCUGAACUC